UACGUAGGGUGCAAGCGUUAAUCGGAAUUACUGGGCGUAAAGCGUGCGCAGGCGGUUCGCUAAGACAGAUGUGAAAUCCCCGGGCUUAACCUGGGAACUGCAUUUGUGACUGGCGGGCUAGAGUAUGGCAGAGGGGGGUGGAAUUCCGCGUGUAGCAGUGAAAUGCGUAGAGAUGCGGAGGAACACCGAUGGCGAAGGCAGCCCCCCUGGGCUAACACUGACGCUCAGGCACGAAAGCGUGGGGAGCAAACAGG
rnacentral:rRNA from 1 species